rnacentral:tRNA from 1 species
CAGAGAAUAGUUUAUAUAAAAUAUUAAUUUUGGAGGUUAAUGAAGAAUAAUUUUGUUUUUCUCUGA